AAAUUAAUAGGCCUAAUUUCCUUUCUGAUUUCCUCCCGCUGAAUCCCUAAACACAAACCCAUCUUUCCCCGACCUAGCUCUCCUCUUGUUUUCGUCGCUCUCCCCUCUUGCUCUCCCCACUGCUCUCCCUAUUCUUGCUGAAUCCCUAAACAUAAACCAUCGUUUGGCUCGUCUCGCUCAUCUCAAAGAAGGUACGGUGUGCACACCCCGACCCCUACUGCUCUCCCCUCAUCUUCGUCGCUCUCCUUUACCGCUCUCCCCUGCCGCUCUCCCUUCAUCUCAAAAAAGGUACACUGUCUUUAAGGUUCAUUGUGAAUGAAAUAACAGUGUAGUAUUGUAUGUUAUGGUGAUAUUAUUUAAAAAAAUGAAGUCACAAGUUUACCAUUGCUCAACUUAACUAUCAAAGAAAAAUGAAAGAAACAUUGUCAUUGUCCAAAUAAUGCCAGGAAUUUAAAGCCAGGUUAUGGUGGAAAAAUUCAAACCCAAUCAUUAGAAAGUGAUAGUAAGCCAAUCAUUUUGAUUAAGCUCUCCAGCAAUUAGCAUGUUACUAUGUUGUACAGUAGAAAGAUUUCAAAUUCAAUGUAUUUUGUAAUGGGCUUGUGUAAGAUAGUUCUUUUAACAUUGCCUACCUUGUGCAAGUAAUUUCUCCUUGUUAAUGAAAUGCUGGAAAGCCUAUUUUAAUUCUGAUGUAUCAUCUUAUUACCUUGAAGUUUUAAGGAAAUAAAUCUUUCUUAAUCGCCUUGCUUUUAAAGGAAAUCUUUUCAUUGACCAGUAAUUAGCUCAUACUAUUAGCUUAGGAUGAGAGAUAAUGUGGAGCUUUAUGUCAAAUCUUGUCUUGUAUGUCAAUAAGACAAGAUAGAGCAAAAGUCGUCAGUCUUCUAGAAUCAUUGUUAAUCUUCGAGUGCUAAUGAAAGAGUGUCUCUAUGGACUUCAUAGUUGGUCUACUCAAGGUGGAUGGGUAUGACAGCGUCCUUGUAGUGGUGGACCUGUUUUCCAAGGAACUUUCAUUCCAGCAACCAAAGAAUGUCCAACAGAGGAAGCGGCCUGAUUAUUCCUUAAGAAUGUGGUAAAGUAUUAGGCUGUUCCUCAAUCCAUCAUCAAUGAUUGAGACGGAUAAUUUACGAGCAAGUUUUGGAGUGAACUAUUCAAACUCUUAGGGUUGGAUUUAAGGUUCUUUACCACAGUGCACCCUCAGAUGAAUGGGCAAACCAAAAGGGUGAAUACCUUAUUGAAAGUUUACCUUUGGCACUAUGUUAGUGCCUUACAACGAGAAUGGCCUAAGCUGUUGGAUAUAGCUCAGUUCUCAUACAACUUUCAGUGAAGUAUGGUUACAAAUUAAAGUCCUUUUGAGAUUAUGACCAGGCAGCAGCUAUGUACACCUAAUGCUAUUGCCUCAAGGUACAUCGGAUCGACUCCAACAGUUUACAAAUUUUGUCAAGGCAUGGCAAAUACAAAUCGAUCUAGCCCGAGUGUAUCUACACAAAGCAGCAAAGCGAUCAAAAAAAGUUGGGCUGAUUGAAAGCGACGAGAUAUGCAGUAUCAAGUAGGGGACUUGGUACUAGUCAAGCUACAUUUGGUGCUACAGAAUCCAGGAAUGCAUAAGGAGUUUAUUCGUAGGUAUGAAGGUUCUUUUAAAGUUUUAAAACGAGUAAGUAAGGUUGCAUACAAGCUUCAGUUUCUCUAAAUGCUCAAGGUAUAUAUGAUCUUUCAUGUAAGUAUACUCAAGUCUUACCAUGAAGACUUAGAUGAUCCUAGAGCCCAAUCAAAGAAAGCACUAGUGGGUAUUAAGGUCUCUUAUGAUUAGAAGGUUGAUCGCAUCUUAGUUGAUCACAUGGUGCGACAGAAGUAGCACAUGCCUAAACAUGAGUACUUGGUAAAAUGGAAGGGUCAACUAGAUAGUGAGAUAAGUUGGGAGUUAAUUGAGGCAUUGUGGCAAUUUUAGGAUCAGAUCAUUAAGUUUCAUGAAGAAGACAUGAUGAGGGCAUCAACAGAAUAGCUAGGGGAGAAUGUUUCACCUCGCAUGAGCAUUAUUAAGGCCAAGGCCUGAGCACCAAUACCAGAAGGUCAGACUUUAGGUCGCAAGAACAAGUUCUUGCUAGAGUUGUUUGAUGCUAAGCCUAAGGACCUUGCGGGAGAAGUUUUAGAAAGCCUUGGACUAGUGGUGUGGGCAUUUUAUAAGUAAAGACUUUAGAUAAACUAGAUCCAAGCCAAUGGUGCAGGUAUAGAACCCACUAGAAGUGUCAGAUGCGCAAAUGGACAGAUGCAUUAUAGUGCCUAAAUAUGAGAGCCUGAAAUUUUUUAGACCUAGUGCAUUUUAAAGUGCUUGAAACCAGCUCCCUUCUAAAGACUGUCCAAUCGACCUUAUAUGUGGCUACGAGCCUUGAAACCCUAUAGAAUGUAAAUAAGAGCCAUACAUUUGGCUCCUUAGUGACCGCAUAGGCUAGGGGGUUCUUGUAUAAAUAUGGGUGCCCUCUCUCCUUAAGAACAUACAUGAGAGUUAGUGAUCUUGUAAGCCACUCAAGCUACUCAAGCACAAUUAUAUAAAAGUCAUAUAUUUCCAGCAAUAAAGGAUCUUCUAUUCUUUCACCAAGUGCCUUUUUAGUGUGUGCACUCACUGAACUUUGUUAGAGGCUAACUUAGACAUACUUGAAUGGUAGUUUCCAGUUUAAAGUCAUACGAUUGCUAGGCUUAAGAGCGAAACUCAUGAUAGUUAGUACACUCGUCAUGGGUCGAGACUCAAUCUCUAAGCUCGUGUUGUUCCAAGAUAGGGCAUGCAUUCAUUUGACGUCCCAUAUUAGCCUAAUUCUCAUGGUUCAUAUCUUUGUGAGGUAUUUUUCGCUUUGACCCUUUUGGGCUCAUGAUUUUAUCUUACAAAAGGUACCUCAUCCUUCCCAAGGUUGAAAAUUUAGAGCAUGAGUUUGGAAAACUCCCGAACAUAUUCUUGCGCCUCUUUACAUUGGGUGAGACGUCGUAGUUUGGUGUGUGCCUCCUUUAUGGCAUACUGUAGGUAAAGUUGUUGCCUAAACUCCUUUUGAAACUCCUUUCAUGUUUCAAUGACAACACCUCCGUGCCUACCUUCUUCGAACUUACGACGUCACCAUAAAAGAACAAUUCCACAAGAUACAUAGAGGUAGUGUUUACCUUAGCCACGUCUUCAUCGAUGCCCAUUGCAUGAAAAUAUUGCUCUGUGCCCUAUAAGAAAUUAUCUACAUCCUUUGCGGAUUGCGUUCCCUUAAACUCUUUUAGCUUGGGAACCUCCACCCUUGUCUUAGGAGUCAUUACAAGUAUACCUUCCCUUACAGCUAACUUAUACGCAGAGAGCUUUGUGAGACAUGCACUGUUGGAAAAGGUAAGAAAAGUGAUAUGAUAUCAGUCUUUGAUGCUCGAUUAGCCAAGGUAAAAUUGGUCAUGGUUGAAAUGCAAUACAAACACGAACAUCAAAUGGAAGAAUUGGUCUUGACCGGAAGGGAGAUUACAAAAGAGUUAAAGUAAACUCUUUUUAAAGACAUUGAAAGCCUUACCCAUAAGAACUCUACCUUAGAGGUUUUGGUGGAGGCCGUGAAAGAGGAGAUGGAGUAGUUCAGUGCACAAGGUCCAAAAAGUUCUAAGCUCUCUUAUUUGAGCAUUAUAAUGCAUUUAUCCAUUUACACAUAUGGUACUUUCAAAGGGUUCUAUGCCCGCACCAUUAACUUGGACUUAGUUUAUUUAAAGUCUUCACUUAUGGAAUGCCCGCAUCACCAUUCCGGUGUUUUCUAUAAACUUCUCUCUUAAUGUUCUUAGGCUCAACAUUUGGCAACUUUAGUAAAGACUUAUUCUUGUGGCCUGGUGUUUGGAGAGGGCAUGGCCUUUUGGUGUUAGUAUUCAGGCCUUGGCCUUAAUAAUGCUAAUGAGGGGUGUGAUAUUCUCCCCUACAUGUUCCGUCAAUGCCCUUGUCAUGUCUUUUUCAUGAAAUUUAUCGAUCUAAUCUUGGAAUUAUCAUAUUGCCUUAGCUGGCUCUCAGCGUAUCUCACUAUCCGACUGGUCUUUUCAUUUUACCAAGUACUCAUACCUAGGUAUGUGCUGCUUUUGUUGCACUAUACGGUCGGAUAAGAUGCGAUCAACCUCCUAAUCAUAAAAGACUUAAUGCCCAUUGGUGCUCUCUUUGAUUGGCCUCAAGUGGGAUCAUUCAAGUCUUUAUGAUGGAGCUUGAGCAUACUUACAUGGAAGAUCGGAUGUACCUUGAGUCUUAGGGGAAGCUCAAGCUUGUAUGUAACUUUGCCUACUCACUUUAAAACUUUAAAAAGACUUUUGUACCUGUGAGUAAACCUCUUGUGCAUUCUUGAAUUUCAUAGCACCAAGUGUAGCUUGACUAGUACCAAGUCUUGUACUUGAUACUGCAUAUCUCAUCGCUUUCGAUCAGUUUAUUUCUUUGAUAUCUUUGCUGCUUUGUGUAGACACACUCAGGUUAGAUUGGUUUGUUCUUGCCAUGCCUUGAUAAAUUUUUAGGUUACUGGAGUCGGUUCUGUGUAUCCCGAGGUAAUAAUACUAGAUGUACAUGGUUGUUGCCCAGUCACAAUCUCAAAGAGACUUUGAUUUAUAGCUUUAUUUCACUAAAGAUUGUAUAAGAACUAAGCUACAUACAAAACUUGGGUUAGUUUCGUUGUGAGGCACUAACAUAGUAUCGAAAGUACACCCUCCAAUAAGGUAUUCACCUUCUCAGUCUGCCCAUCCAUCUAAUGGUGCACUGUGGUGGAGAACCUCAAAUUCGACCUUAAAGUUUAAAUAGUUAACUCCAAAACUUGUCCGUAAAUCAUCCAUCUCGAUCAUCGAUGAUAGAUUGAGGAACAUCCCAGUACUUGACCAUGUUCUUGAGGAACAAUCAGGCCUCUUCCUCCACUGGCCAUUCUUUGGCUAUUAGAAUGAAAGUUUCAUACUUGGAGAAUCGGUCCACCACUGCAAGAAUGUUGUCAUACCUAUCCACUUUAGGUAAACCAACUAUGAAGUCCAUAAAAACUCUUUUAUGAGCGUUUGAGGAUCAAUAGUGGUUCUAGGAGGUUGGUUGGUAAUUUUUGCUCUAUCUUGUCUUGUUGACACAUAAGACAAGUUUUGACAUAGGUCUCCAUAUUAUCUCUCAUUCUAGGCCAAUAAUAUCAGUCCUCAACAAGGGCUAAGGUGUUGUGCACACUUGGAUGGCUUACCCAUCUUGAGUUAUGGCAUUCCUUCAUGACUUUUUUCCAUAGUUUAUUAAGCAAUGGGAUAGAGUCAAUUUCCCUUAGUAUAGAGCAGAUCGCCUUCAAGCCAAAACUAUCUAGUCUUCCCUUGCUUCACGUACUUGAUCAAAGUUUUGGUUAUGGGAUCUUAGGUCAGCCCCUCUUUAAUACGUGCCAUCAAGGGACCUUCUGGCUUGCUAAUUAUUGCUAGUUCAGCCUUACAGUUGUGUGUAUCACCCAUAACGUUGGCCUUUCUUGGUUUGUAUUUCAUGAUGAAAUCGAACUCGGCUAGAAAGUCUUGCCAACGUGCUUAUUUGAGAGUUAACUUUUUCUGACUUUGGAAGUAGCUAGUCACCACAUUGUCGGUCAUAACUAUAAACUUACUUCUCAAUAAGUAAUUCCUUUAUGUGCAAAAACAAUACACCAUGGUAGUCAUUUCUUUCUCUUAAACUAUAUAUCGACGCUCAGUAUCAUUAAGCUUUUUGUUCUCAAAGGUAAUGGGGUGCCGGUCUUACAUCCACACACCGUCAAUAGCAAAGUCAAAUGCAUCAGUGUGUACCUCAAAUGGCUUGGUGUAGUCGACGAAAGCUAGGAUUGGCUUCUCAAUAACAGCUUGUUUUAGGCAAUCAAAAGCCUUUUGGAUCUCGAGACUUCAUUUCCAAACUCGUCAUUUCUUGAGCAUUUCAGUCGAUGAUGCUAUAAUGGCUGAGUACCCCUUUAUGAAGCGUCGAUAGUAGUUUGCUAGGCCAAGGAAUGAUCACAACUCUAUGAUCUUAGUUGGCGGCUCCCACUAUUAGAUAGCCCGAACCUUGUCACCAUUCAUCCGAAUCUGACCAGUGCCUACAAUAUGGCCUAAGAAUGAGAUCUCAUGUUAGACGAAUGAACAUUUCUCUUUCUUUACGUAUAGUUCAUUUUUCUUUAGUACUUGAAAUACUUACCGCAAGUGAUCCAUAUGCUCAUCAAGCGUAUGGUUAUAAACAACAAUAUCAUCAAGGUAUACUACAACAAAUUGAUCAAGAAAAGGUUGUAAUACCUUGUUAAAACCUUGUUCAUCAUGGUGUAAAAUGUUGCGGGUGCAUUCGUAAGGCCAAAGGUAUAAUCAGGAACUUGUAUACCCUAUAGCGAGUCACACAUGCCGUCUUCGGCUCAUCCCCUUCAGCUAUCCUUACUUGAUACUAUCCUGAUCUUAGAUCUAGCUAUAAACCACAGUGCUCCUCUUAGUUGGUCGAACAAGUGGGCAAUAAAGGGAAUGAGAUACUUGUUUUUCAUCGUGAGCUUAUUUAGCACAUAGUAGUCAAUGCACAUCUGUAAGGACCUAUCAUGCUGUUGUUAAAAUAAGACUGGUGCACCAUAUGGAGCUUUAGAGGGCCUAAUGAACCCCACAUGUAAAAGCUCAUUGAGCUAUCUCCUUAGCUCUUGCAGCUUUGGGGGUGACAUCCUAUACAGGGCUCGGACUGGUGGUUUGGCAUCGAGCACUAGCUAAAUAUUAUGGUCUACCUUUUUCUUGAGUGGUAGUCUCUUGGGCAAUUCUACGGGCAUGACAUCUUUGAAGGAUUCCAACACCUCCAGCACCUUCAAUGGGUGUUGUCAUUCAGCCCUUAAGGCUAUCCUCUUUUAGUGCCACUAAGAAGAUGGGCUCUUCCUUAUGCAUACCCUUGGCAAGCUAGAUUGUAGAUAGUGCUUUGGUUUCGAUCCCUUGCUUACGUUUCACUAGAAUGAUGCAUUAACAUUAUCCAUCCAAGAUGCAAAUGCAGUUGGCAAAAGAAACAAAGAGUGCAUUGAUCCUAUCAAGGAAAUCUAACCCGAUAACAAAGUCAUAGACAUUGAGAGGGAUUACCUCGAUGGAUUCUUUAUUUUUCCACACUCCAAACUGUAACUUGACUCAUUAUGUCGUACUUACAAUUGGAACUUCUUUGGAGUUGACAGUCUUAAUCUAUCCGACUUCUUUCUUGACCUUGAGCCCUAGUCUCUUAGCCACUCUUUCUGACAUGAAAAGGUCUGACACACCUGUGUUUAUGAGGCGUUCAAAUGCUUGCCCAUAACUCAGACCUCGGUAAAUAUGAGCCUUUUUUUCUUACGCCCAUUCUUUGCUACGGUAAAACUUAGCAUGAUUGAACCAAGCUUCAUUCUUUCCUUCUCGAGUUGCUCAUCGUGCCCCUUAACAAUGGGCAUAAGCUUGGCUCUAUUGGGACAAUCUUUGGCUCGAUGUGCACCAUCACACAAAAAAUAGGUCAUGGGUUUGCUUUCUGGCCACUCGGCCUUCUUCUUGUCCACCUCUUUAGUGGGCUUUCAUUUGUGUGUUGAGGCUUUGCCACCGUUACUCGUCUUUGUCUCCCUUAUUUUUGCCCUUGCCCUUGGGCUUAGAAGACUCGAACUUGUCUUCUUUCUUGAAUUACACUAAGAAUUAAGUGACGGUCAUGGCUCGGGUAAGGUCUUGAACACAUCCUCUUAAGCUCUUGCUUGGCCCAUGGCUUGAGCUCAUCCAUGAAUGUAAAAAGUGCCUUGUCCUCCCCAAGGUUGGGAAUUUGGAGCAUGAGUUCAGAGAAUUCCCAAACAUAUUCUCGCAUCUCUCCACACUGGGUGAGACGUCGUAGCUUGGUGUGUGCCUCUUUCGUAGCAUACUGUGGGUAAAACUAUUACCUAAACUCCCUUUGAAACUCUUUUCAUGUUCCAAUGGCAACACUCUCGUGCUUACCCUUAUCGAACCUGUGACGCCAUUAUAGGAGAGCAAUAUCUACAAGAUACAUAGAGGCGAUGCUUACUUUAGUAGUGUCCUCCUCGAUGCCUAUUGCAUGAAAAUAUUGCUCUAUGCCCCAUAAGAAAUUAUCUACAUCCUUUGCAGACCGUGUUCCCUUGAACUUCUUUAGCUUGGAAACCUUUACCUUUGUCUUAGGAGUCAUUACAAGAAUACCUCCAUCUACGACUAACUCAGACACGGAGAGCCUCUUCUUGAGUUGCUCCAUCUCUUCUUUCAUAGCCUCUAGCAAAGCCUCUAGGGUGGAGUUCUUAUGGGUAAGGCUUUCGAUGUCUUCGAAAAAAGUUUGCUUUAACUAUUCUGUGAUCUCUCUUUCGAUUAAGACCAAUUUCUCUAUUUGGUUUUCAUAGUUGUCUCGCAUUUCAGCCACAACCAACUUUACCUUGGCCAAUCAAGCAUUAAAUGUCGACAUCAUGUCGCUUUUCUUGCCUUUUCCAGCAAUGUGUGUCUCGCGAGGCUCUUACCCUUCAACAUGCUGAUGGCUUACUUUUAAAGUAGACAUUAUCUUAGAUCAAGCGUAUACUAAAUCGUGCUCUAAUACCAAUUAUCACAAGCUUCAAAUUUUAAGCCUAGUAAUCUUGCGAUUUUAGGCGAGAAACUAUCAUUCAACUAUACCUAAGUCAGCCUUUAACAAAGUUGAGUGAGUGUGCACACUAAGAAGGCACUUGGUAAAAGAAUACAAGAUCCUUUAUUGUUGAAAAAAUGUAGCUUUUAUACAAUUGUGCUUGAGUAGCUUGAGUGGCUUAUAAGAUCACUAACUCUCAUGUAUGUUCCUAAAGGGAGAGAGCACCCCUAUUUAUACAUCAAUCCCCUGGCCUAUGUGGUCACUAGAGAGCUAAAUGUGGCUUUUAUUUACAUUCUAGAGGGUUUUAAAGCCCCUAGCCACAUAUAAGGUCGGUUGGGCAGUUUUUAUAAGAGAGCUGGUUUCAGGCACUCUGUGGUACAUUGGGUUCAGAUGGUUCCAGGCUCUCCUAUCUAGGCAUUAUAAUGCAUCUACCCAUUUGCGCAUCUGGCACUUCCAGAGGAUUUUAUGCCUAUACCAUUAACUUGGACCUAGUUUAUCUAGAGCCUUCACUUAUGGAAUGCUCGCAUCACCAUUUUAGGGUUUUCUAGAAACUUCUCUCACAAGGUCUUUAGGCUCAGCAUCAAAGCUCAGAGAUGCUAGCGUUGUGUCAUCAAGGAUGAUGGGCCCUCAUUGGAGUGGGAGAGGAUGUCACAGUCCUGAAGUGAAGCCAGGAAUCCCACAUCGGUUAAGUACUAGAUUUGGUCUUAAGAUAAAAGGAUUCACACCACCUCUUUCUUAUAAGAUGCCUUUUGUAUGAUAAAAUCAUAAGGUUAAAGGGGCUAGAGCGGAUAAUACCCCACAAAGGUAUGAACUAUGGCAGUUAGGCUGAGCUGAGAAGUCGGAUGAGUGUAUUCCCAGGUCUUAGAGCAAGUGGGCUUAGAGGUUGAGGCUCGAUCCAUGACACGUGCAUGUUCUAAUGAUUUUUAUUAUCCCAUUAAUUAUGAAUUGGCUAUGCUAGAUAGGUAGUGUUUAGGAGUAUGUUUGGUUAUUACAAGGCUAAAUCAUUUGCACUUGAACUUUGAAAUGUUAGACUAGGAUUAUGUGUGGAUGAUUUUCAUCCAUUUGGUCCAAGUGCGAAACCAUACUCUUUUUGGCCAGCAAUAUUAGUGGUAUAUAAUUUCACACAAUGGUUAUGUUUGAAGCGAGAAUAUAUCUUGUUGAAUAAAGAGCAAUCUGGGGUAAAAUAUAGAUGUUUUCUUGAAACCUUUAAUAGAUGAGUUUAAAAUAGUGGCAAAUGGUGUUGUAACGUGUAAUCCUUAUAAAAAAAUUCAUUUGAGUGCAAUUCUUUUAUAAAAAAUUAAUGAUUUUCCUAAAUAUGGUAUAUUGUUUGGAUAGAGUAUUAAUGAAAACUUAUUAUGUCCUUAUUGCAUAAGACAAGGAAAUCUUUUGAUUGGCUCAUGGUAAGAAGCAUUGCUUUUUCAAUUGUUAUCGUCAAUUUUUGCCUUUUGAUCACCUUUUUAGAAAGUAAAGAGAUAAAUUUCAAAAAAAAAAUUGAACGCAACUCUUUUAUUAUUCAAAUAUCAGGUGAAGAAAUGUUGGCUUGGUUAGAUAGCUUUUAUGAUAUCACAUUUGGCAAGAAAUGUAGUAAGUGAAAGUCAUAAUUGGAUAAAGUAUAUUUUUAAAAGUUGCCUUAUUGGCAUACCAGUAUUAUUCAUCACAAUCUUGAUAUAAUGCAUAUUGAGUGUAAUGUAUUUGAUAAUGUCCUUAACACAAUGAUAAAUGCUAAGUGUAAAAUUAGAUUUGAUAAUCUAAAAUACAAACAUAGUGACACGACACAAAUAUAUUAAGAAAAUAAGAUAUAAAAGUGACAUGAUUUAAAAUUUUAGCAAUAAUUAUAUGAGUUUAACAAAAUUAAAAAAAUAUAUAAAUUUCAUAUUUUUGUGUCGAUACAAAUUGUAACAUGUAAUUUUUAUGUAAAACAUGAUUUGUAUACACAAAUGUUAAUAUUUUACAUGAUACAAAUACAUAAAUUAUCAAUUUUAGAUAAAAUCAAAGACAAAAUAAAGGCUGACAAUAUUUAAAGGUGUAUUGUAAGUGACUCAAGUUGGAAUUGGUUAAAAGGAAUGUGAAAGUUUUUAUGCCUAAAGCUUUUUACAUUUUAAGCAAGGAACAGAGAAUAGAUGUUUGUACAUGGAUUAAACAAUUAAGACUUCUUGAUGAUUUUGCAUUUAACAUAGCUCAAUGCACAAACAUAUCUGAUUGCAAGUUUUAUGGGAUAAAAAGUCAUUAUUGUUAUGUUUUCAUGCAACGAUUACUCCCAAUUACCUUUCAUGAUUCGGUGCCUAACUUUAUUUGGGAUGUAAUCAUUUAGUUAUCUCAUUCUUUCAGAUUUUUGUAUUCUAUUAAAAUCCAUGUAUAUGGAAAUAUUGGGAAAAAAAUUGUAGAAACAAUCUGAAAAUUAGAAAAGAUUUUUUCUCCAAAUUUCUUUGAUUUUAUGGGGCAUUUGUUGAUUCACUUCCCUAACGAGGCAAAAAUUGGUAGGCCUAUUCGUUGUCAAUGGAUGUAUCCAUUUGAGAGGUAAUACAAUUCAAUUAUUAGUCAUUAAAGUUGAUUAAUUUAAUUUUCCUUCAAUACUAUUUACGUUGUGCUAUGAUGAUGACUAGGUUUCUUUAUCAUCUCAAGAAAAAAUGCACCAAUCGAGCAUUUGUUGAAACAUUUAUAUGUAAGGUAUAUUUUAUUGAAGAGAUAUUCAUCUUUUGUUCAUUCUAUUUUGAUCUAAAAAUGUCAACAAGAUUGAAUCGUUUUUCACGUAAUGAUGAUAAGUUGUGGAAUCUAAAGGAUGUUUUAUUAUUUUCACUCAUCCUGACCGAGUAUUAGGUUCACAAAAUAAGUUUUAAUGGCUAUCAGUGGAUGAGCAUAACAAGACAUAUUUAUAUGUUUUAUUGAAUAGUGAAAAGAUAAAAUCUUACAUUCAGUAAGUACUAUGUCAACUUUACAACAUAUGUUGCUAAAAAAUUUAUAUUUUUUUCUAAUUCGUAAUUAACAAUGAUUGGAUAUUUGAUGAUUUGACGAAAAAUGAAUUUAUAAAUAUAAGUGAUGUGAAAUUAAAAACAACACGUGAUGCAAGAUUUUCGCAAUGGUUAAGAUAAUUUAUAAGUUUAUAGCAUAAUACCAUAUAUGAAUAAAAAUUAUAUUUUUACAUAAAUUUAAUGAAUGAUCAAUUUUAAUGUUUUAUGAUUGGAUAUGUUAAAAAGUAAAAUGGUGAAAUUUAUCAUCAUCUAGUUGAGAUAACUAGGGCCUUGGACGCUUGGUUAGGUGUUUCAAAUGUCACUUUAUAAAUGGUUUUAAGUUUCAUAUAGCUAACUAUGAUCAAACUCAAAAGAUGAUGAAUUAUUGGAUAUGUGUGAAAGGAAAUUAUUACAAUGAUUAUAAACAUGACUUUUAUGGUAUUUUGGAAGAUAUCAUUGAGUUAGAGUACUUUGGAGUAAGGAAUAAGGUUAUACUUUUUAAAUAUUAUUGGUUUAACAAGGAAAAAAUGGGUUAAAGGUAGAUCUCCGUCAUAGUCUUGUUUAAAUGAAACACAAUUAAAUGCUUGCUAGUAAUGAACAAUUUGUCUUAGCUAAGCAAGUACAUCAAAUUUCUUAUACAAGUUAUCCUUUUAGAAGAAGAGUUUGAAAUGAUUGAUGGGUAGUGUUCAAAACAAAGGCUAGGAGUAUAUAUCAACCAAGUAAUAUCGAUGGAGAUGAAGAACAAACAACUGAUUUAAAUGAAUAUGUGUACCAAGAAAUUAAAGUUUCUAUUCCAUGAACUAUUACUAUCUUCAAAAAAUUUGAUAAUCUUACAAUUCUUAUGUUGGUGAUUAUGAAGAAAUAGAUUUAUUACAAGCGAUUUAAAAAGGAGAAGAAGAAGAAAAAGAAUAAGAAGUAGAAGACGAUGAUGAUGAUGAUGAUGAAAUAUAUGAGUUUGCUUAAUAUAGCAACGAUUGAUGUAUUUAGUGUGACUUUUAAUACUAUAUAUAAUGUUUAUUCGAUUUGGUCAAUAAAUGUAAUAUUAAAUAUAAUACUUGAUUUGGCUUAUUCUAAUUAUAGUGUUUUAUAUGCUCAUUUUAUAUUUUUUGCUCAUUUCAUCUAAUGUUGUAAUACUAAUGUAAUGUUAUAUAUGUUUGUUUUUUCUUUUAUGCUUUUGGAAUACUUAUGAAAUGUUUUUGUUCUAUAUGACAGUUAUAAUGGAACAUCGUGGAAAGAGCUCUAAUACUCAAUAUGGAUGUGCAGCAAGAUCAAUGAAAGGUGAUACAUGUAUUGAGUUAUCUUCAGCACUAAUAAAAGAUGAAUCAUCUUUCAGGUCAUCUUUAGCAUCGAUGAUAAAUGAUCCAUUGAUGGAGUAUAAAGUCAAUCCAUCAUUUGUUGACAAACUACCUAUUAGGUAGUUGACAUAUGGCAAUCUUAAUGAAGAAGGGACAACAACAAGGUAGAGGACUAAGGGCAAACAAAGGCUUACUGACUUCUACAAAUUCAAACAAGCUGGUGUGGAUUACUCCAUCAGGAGAUAAGUAUGAGAUAUACUUUUUACUAUUAAUUUUUUCUUAUUGUAUUUGUUUUUUAAACAAUUCAUGCAAUUUAAUUAAUCUUAUUAACAAAUGGAUAUUGAUAGUUAUUUUGAGCAAUCAUCGGUUAGCUAAACAAUUUUAGGCAUAAUUCAAGAGAAUUUUAUUGAUCCUUGACUGAUAUGGGAUAAAGUUCUUGCAUAAGUGAAGAAUUUAAUGUUUGAUAAAUUUAAGGUGGUAGUUGGACAUUUAUUUUUUGUAUAUAUUUAUUUUAUUUGAAUGAAAAGUUUAUAUUCAUGUUAACGACUUAUUGUAUUCCUAUAUAUUAUGUUAAGAAAAAUGUCAAUGGGUUGAGUCAGAGGAUGCAUUAGUUCAAUGCACAUGGAACAAUAUUUUCAAAAACCAAUUGAAAGGUUUGUUGUCAAAUGAGAGGGAACUAGCGAUGAAAGAACAUGAAGUUUAUAACAUCAUACACUGUAAAGGAAUGGAGCAAAGGUGGAUCACUGCUCUGAUAUGGGAUGCUCUUAUUGAGAAUGUACAGAGCACUCCAAAAUGACAAAAGUUCUUGGCCAAAGCCAAAGCAAAUCAUUAGACACAAAAAGAAAAAAAUAUUAUAAAGCACAUUAACGGUUUGAUUGCAUUUCCUAUUCAUAGAAAAAAUGGUAUGAUCUUUUUUCACGAAUUAUUUCUAUUAUCACAUUUCAAUUUUAUAUAAGUUGUAUUGUUAUAUAUUUCAUUGAAUGUCUUUAAAGGAAUGCAGUCACUUGAGAUGCAAUGAGAACCUAUAUUUAAAGAAUGGUUCAAUCACACUCACAGAUAUUUAGGAGGACAUGGGGAUUUUAUUUACAACAAGUCCAAAGUUGUCAGUAUAAAUGAUUUUGCAAUGACUUUGUGAAUGCUUUCCAGUUGCCUUGCUUUAUUGAACUAGAUAAUGUUUUGUGUGUUUUGAAAUACAAUGACUUUAUAUAAAAAGUAAAAAUUGUUGCAUAUUUUGCUUUGUGAUUCUUGUUGUGUAUUGUACUUGUUGCUAAACAACUUUUAUAGUAAUUUCAAAGUAUAAAAUUUAUUGAAAAUUCUUUAUUAAACUAGAUAGUGUAUUGUGUGUUUUGCGAUGCAAUAACUUUGUAAAAUGUGAAAAUUAUUAUGUAUUUUAGUUUCUGUUUCUUAUUGUGUAUUGUGCUUGUUGACGAACUACUUUUAUACUAAUUCAAAAGCCUAAAAUUUGUAGAAAAUUCUUUGUUAAACUAGAUAGUGUAUUGUGUGUAUUAAGAUGUUAUAACUUUGUGAAAGGUGAAAACUAUUAUGUAUGUUAUUUUGUGACUCUUGUUGUGUAUUAUGCUUUUCAAUAAACUACUUUUAUAGUCAAAGCCUAAAAUUUGUAAGAAAUUCUUUAUUGAAUUAGAAAAUAUUUUUUGUAUAUUAGGAUGCAAUAACUUUGUGAAAAGUAAAACCUGUUGCAUAUUCAAUCAUGACUUUCUAGGUUUUUUUCCUUUUUUCAGUAAAACUUCAAAUUAUAAAUUGUUUGAAAUUGUCUUACUUUAUUUAACUAGAUAGCAUAAGUUAUACAGAUAAAAUGGAAUGAUAAUUGUUUUAAAUUUUUUGUAAAACUAUGCUAUUGUAUUAUCUAAAAAAUAAAAUGAAGACUCUUUCAAUCAUCUAGAUUUCAAACCAUAGGCAUGGACUAAACUAUUCGAGAGAUUGAAGCUACACACAUUCAUGUAUAUGGCUUUGGAUUGACACACAGAUCUAAGGAUCUACUUUACUUUAGUCAAUCCAAUGCUGCAACAGUAAUGUUUAACUCAAUUUGUGGUUCGUCAUCUAUACUUCCUCAACCUUAGAUACAAUAACAAAUUGACGAGUUAAGGACUGAGUAGAAGGUUAAGCUUAGGUCUUUCAUAGAUCAUAUGAUGCAAUUGAUGGGGUUUAGACAAUUUUCAUCUAACACAAUCAAAGAUACCUUAUAAUCCUAACGACAACAACAAAGAUUUUGGAUCAGGAGAUGCAAGAAAAUGACAUUUUUUCUAGGACUUGUAUUAUGAUAAUUUGGGUUGUUUUCAAAUACUAUAUUUUAUGGAUUUCAACUUUAUAAUUUGGAUUGUUUUAGAAUUUUUGUGGAUUUGAACUUUAUGAUGUGAAUUUAACUUAGAAUAUUGGAUUUGAUCUUUAUGCUUUUAAUGAAUAAUAGACAAUUAAUAGACUUUUAAAAGAAUAACGCAUAUUUUAUUUUUAAUUUAAAGAUUUCUUAAAUAAUUAUUAGUGGAAUUAAUCAAAUUAUCAACAAAAUUUAGAUUUUACUAAUGGAUUUUGUCAAUAAUAUUUUCACUUUUAUCGACAAAAACAACAAUUUACCUUAUAACAACUAAAUUUUCAAUCGAUAAUACUCUAAUUUCUAGUAGUGAUUGUUAAUUAUUCUUCUAUGUACAUGGAUGUAUGGUAAUUGUUUGUCGCAUGGUUAAAAUAAGAUUGUAUUAUUUAUAAGUACUAGAAAAAUAAGCUGGCCGCAUGAAGUGAUUGUUGCUUUUCGUAUAAAGCCAGUAAGUAUACAGAUCAAGUAAUAAAAUGGAGUAUUCCAAGUAUCAUCUUUUCUAGGAUUAUAGAAAAUAAUGUUGGCUUGAUCACAAUUACCAAAGGUGAAAGGCUAUGAUCUUAUAUCUAAACAAAUGAACAUUUAGUGUUUUAGGGUUACAGGGUUUAAGUAAAGAUUAGAAACAAUGUAUAGGUAGGGUUCUUAAUUUCACAAAUUGUCAAUUAGGAAGUAAAAGACUAAUGCUAACAACUAACCCUAAAGCAAGAAUUGAAAUAUUGCAAGUAAAAGAAUUAAAUAUUGUAAACAGAAAGUAAAGAUUAUCGAAUUCUUAAAGAGAGCUUGGAACAAAGCUUGCAUGAAAGAAAACUAAAGAACAAGAAAAUGUAGGUUGGCCAAAAUUUGUAAAGAAAAGAAAGAAACUUAGAUCUUGAAAACUAAAGAUUACUUGUGCCAAAAUUAAAGAAAACAAGAACCAAGAUUUGUAAACUUUAAAAAUAAGAAAAGAGAUCUUUGAAUGAAAUAUUUCUUGAUUGAAAAAUAUUUAAAGAACAAGAGCUUGAUAAUUGGCAAAUUUGUGACUUAAGCUAAUACUUGAAAUAAAAUAAAUAAAGAAUUGAAGAAACUUAGAAACUAAAAGAAAGAUGAGAAGUGAGGAGUAGGAUGAUUGGUAUGAUGGAAUAGCCACCCUAUUUAUAGAAUGGGAUUUGGCCAAAGGGUGGGAGAUUACAUGAUGCAUUUUCAAAUUCAAACUCUAGGUGAUAAACUUGAUCUUUAUCUUCAAAGUUGCAUGAAAAAGAUGAACUUUUCAAUCUUGGAUGCCUUGGCCAAACAUGAUAAUGAUCUUGGCCUUUCGUCUUCACUUGAUGAAAUCUUGAUAAAUCCUCCUCUAAGUUUGGCUAUAGUGGAUUUCAAGAGAAGAUAAAUUUACUUUUUAUCUAAACUUUUGAUCUUGAAAAUGAUAAAGUCCUCCAAUCAAAACUCUUCAAGACUAAGCAAAAGACUCAUGAUUGGCUUCAAACUCAUUUUGGUCAAAUGGAUUGAGUUUGUAAAGUCCAAGUGCUUCCAACUUUUCCUUCUUCUUUGCAUAGCCAAAUGUACUAGUGUCCUUGUGCAAGUCAUUCUCUUCAUGGCUAAGUAAAAAAGCAUGUUUAUCUUGAACUUUCACUUUCACUUUGGUCAAAUGUGAGAGAGUCCAAUUGGGCUUGUGCAUGCUUGAAUAUGGACCAAUGAUGGGUAACAUUAUGCAUGUAAAGUUGGGCCGAAUGCAAGCUUUGCAUGGUUACAUGCAUAGCUUGCAUGAAAAUAAGUCUUGAGCUUGAAAAACCUAAAACCAUGAAAAUAACAUGAAAAACAUAAAAAAUCAUCCAAACAUUUAAAUUUUAGCACUAUUAUGACAUAUAAAAUCUUAUAUAUUUUAGUGUGAUCACACCUCCCACAUUUUAAUCUUUGCUUUUCUUUAAACAAAACCUCAAAUCAGCAAAACUAAAGAACGUUAUAAACAUUCUCAAAGUUAAAAAUUAUAAAAAAACUCAUUUCAUGUACUGUUGUAUAAUACAAAAUUAAGAAUAAAUAUAGAAUCUCAAGAAUGUCCUUCAAAAGCAAGCUUCUAAUAUCUUAUGUUUAUUCAUACAUACAAAUCUACUCCAUUUUUAAUUCAUGCAUAUAAUUCAAGUAAAUAGAAAACAAAACGCUUCAUCACAUGUUCACUUUCCAUUUCCCUCUCCACUAAUGUUAGACCUAUAUAUUUAGCUCAAGAUCAAAAGGUCUUUUAGGCUUGUAAUGUAAAACUUGGAUCAAGAUAGGAAAAAAAGAAUUUUUAGGCUAAAAAACCUUAAGCUUACUUUUUUUUUCUUAAACUUCUUAGACUCUAAAAAAAAGGGAGCUUUUUUGAAACUUGACUUGAAAGGCAUUCUUAAUUGCUUUUUGUAUUUUUGGUCUUUUUUUUAUUGAAUGAUAGCCAUUUUUUGUUUUAUUAGGCUUUGCCUUUGCUUUUGCCAAUUUCUUUUUCUUUCGUUCUUUCUUUGUGCCUUCUUUCCUCCCAAAUACAAGAACAUGUCCAUGAUACACAAGCGCACUGGGUUAGGACAUCAACAGAAAGAAUAAUAAUAAAAAAAAGACUUAUUAGGCUUGUAAUGUGGCUAAAUAAAGAAAGAAUAUGAAAUAUAAUAGGCUCAAAAUAAAGGUACUAAGGAUACACCAUUAGAGGGUGGGCUUAAAAAUAGCUCAAACGGUCCAAAGCACUACUUAGAUCAUUUUUUGAGUUAAAUAUAGUCUAGGAUUUCACUUUAAGGGUUGAGUAGGUGAAUUCUAGAACACGUAUUCAUAUCUUAAAUUUCAUGCAAAUCCAUAUCUCAUAAUUUUUCACAAAAUCAUAGCAUUUCAUAAAAAGAGAAUAGAGAUGUAUAUAUAAAAAUCAUAUCCAAAGUAAAAACAUGCUUAAGAAUUCUUUUCAAGUGCUAUUACAUCCAUACUUAAACUCUAUAUCAUACUUUAGUAAUUUUAAAAAGAAUAUGUGUAAUUUUCAACUAAAUGAAUAUCAUAAUGAAGUUUAGUACGUCAAUUUGAUUUUAAAAACAAAGAUGGGUUAAAAUAAAAAACUUUUCUUUUUCCCCAACAUUUAAAUGGAAUCACAUAUAAAAAACUCGAAAGAAAAAGAAAUACUCCUCAAAAUUUUUAAAAGUCGAAUAUCCAUGAGGCAUCCUCUUUGCUUUUUUUCAUCCUUAAAAACCAAAAAACUCAAACAAAAACGUUAAAGCAUACUUGUCUUAAUAAUAAUAAAAAAAAGAGAUCAAAAAGCAUAACCAUUAAAGUAAAACUUAAGUUGCUUCCUAAUCAGCGCUAGUUUUGGUCAAGCUUGACCAUCCUUAAAUCUAUGCAAAAUCCUCUAACCUCUUUGGAGGGGAUUACCUUGUUGCCUCUUUCUUUGUGGUAUGACAUAAAUAGACUUAGUUUAAGGAGGUGGACUAACUCUCAUAAUAGGGAUCACAUAAACUAAGUCUAAAUUUUUGGAGUGGUUGACAAGACUGGAGCUAAGGUUUGCUAAGUGUUUUAAAGGGUCAGGAGGUUUAUCUAAUAUGUUAUACUUUUUUAGGGUUUCCUUUAUCUUGAUUAGACUAACUCCUUCUUCAUCUCUUACCACACUAUACCCUACAAAUACAAAUUUCAACUUCUUGUGUCUAAACUGAAGAGUCAUACUAGCCUCAUACACAUCUAUCAAGGUUUUGGCAAUGAAUGAGAAAGGUUUACCUAAAUGUAAUAGAGCUUCAUCAUCAUUCAUGUCUAAAACAACAAAAUCUACAAACAUCCCUUAUAGUAACUUAACAGAUUCAUCAGCAAACUUAAUGUUGAAUUAAGGAGGUUUCAGCUUUCAACAACCUACCUGUAUAAAAACAUUCAUAGGUAUUAGAUUUAUGAUUGAACCAAGAUCACAAAGAGAAUAAAAAAAUCUUAACUUUCUAAUUUUGUAAGGUUUAGUAAAACUCCUCAGAUCUUUUAGCUUUUUUAACAAAAGUUGUUGAAGCUUAGGGUUGCACUUAACUAAGAAUGUAAAUUCUUUUAAUUCCUUGAGCAGUUCCUUUUGAAUGGGCCUUAGAGUAGGUGGUUUUAUAUUAGAAUACUACCUAUACAUUUUGGCAAUCAUCUUAGGCAUUGGUUGAACUUCUUUAUGUACCUCUUCUUUUUCUUCUCCAAGAUAUUCUUCUUGGGGAUCCUCUUUUAGCAUUACUCUUUCUCUUUAGCUAUCUUGGGCAGACUAACCCUAGGCUAUCACUUUAAGUUCAGAUUAAAUGCUCUCUAAUUAUGCUCUCCCUACUUGUAACAUUAUUUGCCCUUUUUUAGGAGACCCUUCAAUAUACUCCUCUGGAUCUUUUUCAUAAUAUAUCUUGACAUUUUCUUUUUCAAGGUCUUUCUCAUAGGUUUCAACAUCUUUAAGGGCUUCCAAUGCCAUAGGGUCGAAACCCUCCAAGAUUUCUAUACCAACUUUCAAUAGUUCCUCAUCAUCGAGAAUAUAUGCUUUUCCAAUAAAAUCAACUUCAAGUUGUCUUACAAAGUUGGGUAGGUUGACUACUACGGGUUCAUCAUCUUUUUCAUUAUAAUCAUCCAUCCUAACAUCCCUCAAAGAAUAUAUUGCAUUGCAUCCUUCUUUGCCUUGUCUUUUUGGGUUAGUUUCAGUGUUACUAGGUAGGGUACCAUUGGGCAAUUUGCUAUGGCUUGGGCAAGCUGACUUAUCUGGUUUUUUUAAUUUUUUAUUGAUGUAGUUUGACUUUGGAUGUUGGCAUUAUUUGCUUGCAUCAGUUGGGUUAACAUAUCCUCAAAGGUGGGUUCUUUUUUCUUGAGGUAGGUUAUAGUUUGGUAGAUUGGGGCAGUAGUUGUUGGUUUGGUUGGUUCCAAAAUAAGUUUGGGUCAUUUCGCCAACCGUGAUUGUAGGAUUGUUGCUUAGUUUGUUUUGUUAGAUGUAUUGGAUUGGUUUAAACCUAUUUUGGCAUCUUUUUGAGGAUACAAAAGGGCUUUGUAUGGCAUUAACAAAGUUGGCUUAUAUUCAAUCUUUUUUGCAAAGGUAGUUAACUGGGAGUUAAUGGAAGUGAUAACAUCAAUUUUAAAUAAACCAGUACUUUUUUACUAACAUUUCUUUCAUUGCCCCAUUCGUAAUUAUUGGUAGCCAUCUCUUAAAUUAGCUCCUUAGACUCCUCAGGAAUUUUGCUAAUUAUAGCCUCUCUAGUAGUUGAAUCUAAUAUGGUUCUCAUGAGUGUGAAACCAUUGUAAAAAAUCUUAAUCUAAAGCCACUGGGGUAAACUAUUAUAUGGACAUUUUCUUAGCAACUUCUUGAAUCUCUCCCAUCCAUCAUAUAAAGUUUCACCAUCAGCUUGUAGAAAAGCAGUGAUCUCAUUCCUUAGCUUUACACUCUUUGUUGGUGGGAAAAAUUUUGCUAAAAAUUUUUUAACCAAAUCAUCCCAUGUUGUAAUUGAGCCAGGUGGUAAAGAAGACAACCAACUUUUCACCUUUCCUUGAGAGAAAAAGAAAACAAUCUUAGUCUUCUAGCUUCAUCGAAAAGAGCAUUAUAACAAAAAGUCACAUAAUUCAAGAAAAUUAGAAAGAUGGAGAUUUAGGUCAUUGCUUAGUAAUCCUUCAAACUGCACAAAAGUUUGGACCAUUUAUAUAAUCAAAGGCUUUAUCUUGAAGUUAUUAGCUUCAAUAGUUGGCCUUCUAAUGGAUGGUUAAAAACUAUCUACAUUAGGAACUGCAUAAUUCUUUAGAGUUCUUUGCCUUUUUAUUAUUUGCAUUCACCAUUGGGAUAGGUGCAGGUGUUGAUUACUCUGUUCUUUUUCUCUUAAAGAUUCUUGCUAUCUCUUUAUCAACUGUAGUUAAAUCAACACUUUUAGAUCUACACAUGCAAAUAAGAAAAUAUCAAAGAAAAGCAAAAGAAAAGUAAAUAAACAAAAGAAAAAAGGUUUAGAUUAUAAAAGUUUACAAUUCUUUAUUGAUACUGUGAACACCGCUAUAAUCCCUGGUAAUAGUGCCAAAAACUUGAUUGUUGCUUUCAGUAUAGAGCCUGCAAGUACAUAGAUCAACUAAUAAAAUAGAGUUUCCAAGUAUCGUUUUCUCAAAGAUUAAAUGUUAGGUUGAUCACAAUUACUAAAGGUGAAAGGCUUAGAUCUUAUACCUAAACAAAUGAAAAUUUAAGAUUUUAAGGUUAUAGGGUUUAAGUAAAGGUUAAAGACGAUGUAUAGGUUUCUUAACUUCAUCAACAGCCAAUUAGGAACUAAAAGACCAAUGCCAACAACUAACCCUAAAGCAAGAAUUAAAAGAUUGCAAGUAAAAAAAAUUAAAGAUUGUAAACAAGAAAGUAAAGAUUACCGAAUUCUUGAAGAGAUCUUGGAACAAAGUUUGCAUAAAAGAAAACUAAAGAAUAAGAAAAUGUAGGUUGGCCAAAACUUGUAAAGAAAACAAAAAAAACUUAGAUCUUAAAAACUAAAGAUUGCUUGUGUCAAAAUUAAAGAAAACAAGAAACAAGAUUUGCAAACUUUAAAACAAGAAAAAAGAUCUUUGAAUGAAAUACUUCUUGAUUAAAAAAGAUUUAAAGAACAAGAGCUUGGUAAUUUGUAAAUUUGUCACCUAAGACAAUAUCGUAAUUAAAAGAAAUAAAGAACUAAAGAAACUUAGAAACUAAAAGAAAGAAGAGAAGUGAGGAGUGGGAUAAUUGGAAUGAGGAAAUGGCCUCCUUAUAAUAGAAUGGGAUUCAACCAGGGGAUGAGAGAUUACAAGAUGCAUUUUAAGCUUGAUCUUUAUCUUCAAAGUUGCAUGAAAAAGAUGAACUCUUCAAUCUUGGAUGCCUUGGUUGAACAUGAUGAUGAUCUUGGCCCUUGGUCUUCACUUGAUGAAUUUUUGAUAAAUCAUCCCCCUAGGUUCAGCUAUAAUGGAUUUCAAGAGAAGAUAAAUUUGCUUUUUAUCCAAACUUUUGAUCUUCAAAGUGAUAAAGUCUUUCUCCAAUCAAAACUCUUUAAGACUAAGCAAAAGAUUCAUGAUUGGCUUCAAACUCAUCUUGGUCGAAUGGAUUGAGCUUUUAGAGUCUAUGUGGUUGCAACUUUUCCUUCUCUUUGGCAUAAUGGGAUGUACUAGUGUCCUUAUGCACAUUAUUCUCUUCAUGACUAAGCAAAGAAGCACGUUUAUCUUGAACUUUCACUUUGGCUGAUUGUUAGGGAGUCCAAUUGGGCUUGUGCAUGCUUGAAUAUGGAUGAAUGGUCGGUAGCAUUAUGCAUGUAAAGUUGGGCUGAAUGUGAGCUUUGCAUGGUUACAUGCAUGGCUUUCAUGAAAAUGAGUGUUGAGCUUGAAAAACCUAAAGCCAUGAAAAUAACAUGAAAAACACUAAAAAUUAUCCAAAAAUUUAAAUUUUUGCACCAUUUUGACUUAUAAAAUCUCUAUAUAUUUUGGUACCAGCACCAAGGUUGCAAAAUUUUUUUAUUUUAACAAAAUAUAAAUUUUUUAAUUUUUUUAAUUUAAUAAUAAAUUAAAAUUAAACAUUUUUAGUAUUUUGUUGGUUUUUUAUUUUUUAUUUUUGGAAGAUAUAAUCUCUUCAAAAAAUUAAAAAAAAAAAACUAAUACUCUAAUUAUGUCACUCAAUUGUAAUUGGACAUAAUUUGACUUCUAUUUUAAAUGAGGCUACUUUAAAAAAAAAUUGUAAAGAUUAAGUCAAAACCUAGCAAUAUAUACAUGACAAUCCAAUCUAUUUAUACAACAUUUACUUAUUACCAAUAUUGAUCAAUUAUCAAAUUCAAACUCAUUUACCCAUGAAAUUAAAGGCCACUAAUAUCAUUACCCAUUCAACUUAUAUUUUUAAAGAAAAAACCAAUACUUUUACUACGGUAGAAAAGGUAUUAUAGUAAUUUUGACCAAUGAUAAUAGGAAGGCAUUUUUAUAAUUAUGGUUGGAGUGACACUAUAGCAACCUUGACCAAUUAUGAUAAAAGAGUAUUUCAGCAAUUAGAUAUCAGUGGCAUUAUAGUAAUUUUAGUUAACUAUAAAAUGAAGGGCAUUACAAUUAAUUUAGACACUUAUCGUAAAAUUGGCAAGUAUUUAGAAGAGCAUUAUAGUCAUUUCCAAGGAAAUGACUUUCAUAUUAUUGUAUAAAUGUUAAAAUUUAAUAUGAAAUUAUGAAGCAAUUAAAAAGGCAUUUUUGUAAUUAUAAAAAAAGGUUAUUAUAAUAAUUUUGACCAAUUAUAGUAUUAAAAGUAUUUUUGUAAUUAUGGUAAGAUGGGUAUUUUAGUAAUUUUGAUAAAUUAUGAUAAGAGGGAUAUUUUCAUCAUCAUGACAGAGUGACAAUAUAGUAAUUUUGGGUAUUUAUGAGAAAAAAAAGACAUUAUAGUAAUUUAUAUGAUGUAAUUAAAUAGAUAUAUAUGGAUAUUUUUGUAAUUUUGGUACGGGUGACAUAAAAUGUCACGUGUCAAGGAAUUAUGAAAUAAUUAAAAGAGUAUUAAUGUAAUUUUGGUAGGGAUAUUUUUGUAAUUAUGGUAGGUGGGGAGUUUUUAUAAUUUUUGUAGGAAAGGUAUUAUAGUAAUUUUGAAAAAUUAUGAUAUGAAGGACAUUUUCUUAAUUAUGAUGUAAGGGCAUCAUAGCAAUUUUUGCCAAAUUAUGAUAAGAGGGACAUUAUCAUAAUUUCAAUUAAUUUAUGGUAAGAGCAACAUUUUUGUACUUAUGAUAAAAUGAUAUUAUAAUCAUUGAGGAGACAUGUCAACUUUUAAUCAAAGAACCAUAACGGCAUUUUGAUAAUUUGUAUGAGAUUAGUAAUUUAAUAGAUAGUUAAGUUUAUAUUAUGUUAAAAUUUAAUAUAUGUAAUUUAAUAAGAGUAUUAUAGUAAUUUUCAAAUAAAAUUUCAUAUGUCAAAUUUCUAUGAAACAAUAAUAAAGUUAUUUCAAUAAUUUAAUAUGUGAUUAAUUUUAUAUUAUUAUGUUAAAAUUUAAUACAUAAAUUAAAAGGGAUAUUAUAGUAAUUUUCAAAUAAAAUAGUAUAUGUCAACUACUUAUGAAGUAAUCAUAAAGACAUUUUUUUUAAUUAUGGUAAUGAGCAUUUAGUUAUUUUAACUAAUUUUGGUGGGAAGUCAUUUUUGUAAUUAUGAUAGGAGGACAUUAUAGCAAUUUUGCUCAAUCAUAGUAGUAGAGACAUUUUCAUAAUUAUGGUAGGAGGAAUAUUAUAGUAAUUUUAGCCAAUUAGAGGAUAAGGGGCAUUUUUGUAAUUACGACAUAAAGGUAUCAUAGUAAUUUUUCAUUUAUAGGAGGGGCAUUUUCACAUUUAAGACAUAAAAGGCAUUAUAAUGAUUUGAUAUUUAUAAGAGGGGUAUUUUUGUCAUUUAAGAAUAAAGGGAUAUUAUAGUAGUUUAUCAUUUAAAAAAUGGAUAUUUUUGUAAUUUUAGCCAAUUAUAGGAUGAAGCGCAUUUCGUAAUUAUGAUGUAAGGGUAUCAUAGUAAUUUGUCAUUUAAGGAGUAGUAUUUUCAUCAUUUAAGACAUAAAGUGUAUUAUAGUGAUUUGAUAUUUAUAAAAGAGGUAUAUUUGUCAUUUGAGAAAGAGGGGCAUUAUAGUAAUUUAACAUUUAAAAAGGGAUAUUUUUUUCAUUUAAUAUAGAAGGAGCAUUGUCGUCUUUUUGGACAAAUGUCAAGCAAUUGUAAAGAAACAGGAAGGGCAAAAUGGAUUUUUCUAGGGAAACUAUUAUCUAUUUAUUGUAUAUGUAUAUAUAUAUAUAUAUAUAUGAAUAAUUAAAGUAUAAAUUUUAAUUUCUUUUAUUUUUGGAAUAAAUUAAUCACAAUACUUUAAUUUUACUUCAAAUUCAGAAAUAUGGUAGUAAAUUUGUCUCAAAAUUAAAAGUAUAAUUGGUAAAUUGUAUUUUUAAAAUUAUUUCUUGGAUUUGAUAAUAACUUCUAACAAUAUAUUCUACAAAAUAUACCCUAACUAUUAUAUCUUGACUAAGUUUGUUUGAAAAUUAUAAAUAUUUUGGUAAAUUUGUUUUAAAAUUAAAAGUAUAUAUGAUGGUAAAAUUGCACUAUUUGAAACAUUAAUUGAAAAUAUUAGGACCACUCAUAUAAGUAAAAUGAUAAAUUUGCACCUUAUUUCUAAUUAUACAAAAGAGUUACAUGGCAAUUAUAUAAUAAUGUUAGUGUAUAGCCAAUUGGAUUGAGGUAGAAUAAUUUGCUAUAGUAUGCAUUACUUUUAUAUAAUAAGGCUUUUUAUUUUAAGUAGAUUUAUAUUUCUUAUUUACCUAGUUCAUAAAAAUAAAUUCUAUGGAAUAAAUAUGUUUGGCAAAAGGAAUUGCAAACAAGCUAUAAUUCUGAGAUCUAUAGAGCAUAAAAGUAUUAUUUCCAAAUUGUUCCUAGCCGAUGCUUUAUUAAGAAGGAUGGAUAUUAAUAUAUAAGCUUUUGAGGUUGGUACAUGUUUAUGCUCUUAUGAAGUAAAAAAUUGAUCUCGUAAAUUAAAGUAUGGAUAUACUUGAAUAAGAUUUGUAGAUGCUUAUUAUAAGAACAAGUUCACUAAACAUGACUCACUAUGAGAAUACCACAUGGUAUAUCACUUAAGUACUUAUGGUAAUAUUCUUAGUUGAUGGUUGCAUAAAUGGUCCUUUAACUUGAAGUUCAUUAUCUAGCUUGUAUGACAAGUUCUAUACUUUGAUAUUACUCAUACACGAUUAUAACCAAAGAUGCACCAUAGGAUGCUAUUAAUUAUAAUAUGAAUCCCAUGGAUUUAGAGUAAUGCUUAUGAUAGGAUUCAUUAUCUCGACUGAUCGGAUGAAUAUUUCAUUAUUUUUGAAAAGAAGUUAACUCGAAAAAUCCUUGACCAAAGUGGAAUGAGGUUUUGAAGGAGUUCAAAACUCAUUCAAAAAGUUAUAAGCUUUAGGUAUAUCAAGAACCCUAACAUAAAGUAAACACUAAACUAUAUUCUAGCUCCGAAGAUAUAUAGUGAUGGAAAUACUAAAUUAUGAGACAAGACCAUGGCCUGAUAGGUCAAACAAACCUUCUUGACUCUUCUUAAUACUUGGGUGGUCGUAAUACAGUACUAUAUGUCAAUUCGAUCUAUAAAUAUGAAAUUGAUUAAUUAGAGAAUUAAUAACGAAGCAAAGUAUUUUGAUUCAUCUAAUUUUAAGUACACUAGCACUACACCAUUCAUAUUUAUUAUCAAACAUAUUAAAGUUCUAAUAUGUCACAUGCAUUAAGAAUAAUUAAGUUGAAAACGAAAAUGGGAGAAUCAAAUUGGACUUUAUUGAAAUAAAAGUUUAAAGCUUUAGUAAAAUAAUUGAUAAGUCCAAGGGAUUAAAUUGUAAGAUUAUAAAAUACAAUCCUAUUUGGAAUAAGAUUAGGAUUAAGCUAAUAAUAAAAUAAAAUCAACGUUUUAUUUGGUAGGAAUGAUGGCAAGGGGUGAUGAUGAAAAAUUUGGUAAUCUAAUGGUUAAGCUACAAAGUAAGAAAAUGGUUAUGAAUUUUAACCAUUAGGUUAGCAAAAUUUUCAUCCUUACUUUUUUCGAUCUUUCUUACCAAGCAAAGUCUAAAUAAGGCAAAAUUCGUUCCUUUAUAUAAGAAGCCUUAUUGCCCCUCUUUAUGAAUGUGAAUUAAUAGUAAUCCAUGUCAAGAGUUGAAAGAAAUCAUAAAACCUUAAGAAAGACAAUUCUAGCCAACAUUAAGUCUCAGUUUUGGGCUAUCUCAACCUCUCUAAGAGGUUUUCUUUUUAAUUAUUUGAGUAUAAAAAUGACAAAAUAAUUUUUGGGUAUUCAAUAAGUUUUGUCCCAUCUCCUAUCCGAUAUCUAUCAUCUAUCAUCCAACAAUUAUCCAAAGGUUUUAAGCUUAUAAAUUAUGUGUUAGAUCAAAUUUUUUAUUUUGUAACAUUUCUUUUAAAGUUAUAUAUUAUUUAAUUUUAUAAUUUUGUUCUUAUAAGAAAUACUCUUUUAAAUUUGUUUUAUAUUUUGGUGCACAUCUCUUAAAGUCCAUUUGGAUAGUUUAUGAGAUUGGCUCCAAUGAAAUUAAAAACUACAAUGGCAAUGAUAUUAAUUACUAGUAGUGAGAUUAAAAUCAGUGAUAAAAUAUGUGUUUAAAUACAAAUACAAUGGUAGUGAUGAGCCAAAGUAUAGUAAAAAGAGAAAAUAACAAUUAUGUACAUUAAAUUAAAAUUUGUAUAUAAUAAAAUUUAUAAUAGAUAUUUCAUAUUAGUUAAAUUAAUAUAUAAUUGAAAAUUAAUAAAAUUAUUUUUAUAUCAAAUAAUACUUGAAUUAUUAAAUAUUUGAGAAAUAUUUUUAUGUAUAUAUAUAUAUGUUAAUGUUAUUUAAUAUUUAAAAUCUUAAAGUUUUAUUUAAUAAAUAGUGAAAUAUUUUUUAGAUUAAAAUAAUAUAUUAAAGCUAAGAAAAUGUUGAAUACUAUUGAAAUUUGUUUUGAGUUGUUGUAUUUAUUAUAACUAGAAUUAGACCCUAGGUAUGCUAGGAUAAACAAUUCUUUGUCAAUUAUUUUAAUUGUUUUGAGUAUAUUUAUAAUUAAUUUAAUAUAAAAAUAUUUAAAAAAUCCCAAUAUUAUAUCUAUGUUUAGCGAUGCAUCUUUUUUUAUAUGCAAUUAGACUUCUACGAAAUUUAAACAUCUUUAGGCCUUCCAGAGACUCCUAUAAAUGAUAGAUGUUAGCAAAAAUUUCAAUUAUUGAAAGAAUGAGACAAGCAUCUAUCUAUAAUCUAUAAGUAUAUAUUAAAGCUAUCCCUAAGAAAGCUAUCCCCAGGAAAGGCUUACAGGACAAAUAUGCAAUAUAAAAACCAAGAGAUGAAGGAUACUUUUGGGUCAUAUUUGACUUUUGUAUUCAGAAGCUUUAUUAAAGGUAAUUUUGGAUAAUUUUUUACUUUUGUAUCUAGAAGCUUCAUAACAAUCAAGAUCAGAUACUAGAAAAAUACUAGAGUUUGGCUAAAGACCUUUGAAUUAGCCAAAAAAGCAGCUCAAGUCAACAAUGAGGUGAGGUCCCUCUAUGAAUCCAAAGCGAAAACAAAUUUUCCAAUACAUUCCUUCUAUUAGUGUUGAACUUCAACUUGGGAGCAUUCCUGGAAAGGCAAAAGAGAAGAAAAAGAUGAUUAAAGACAAAGGCAGGGGUGUUUCUUACGUUUGCACUCUGAAGCACCAGUUAAAAAGGUUCAGGUCAAAAAAGAAGUAUAAAGGAUAGAAAUGGGGUAGGAUCAAUUUGCCUUAAUGAUGCCUGGACUUUUAUACUUAUAGAUAAGUUGUAUGGGACCACUAACGGACAAUAAAGACAGUACUAAGCUAAUAUGGCACUGAGCAUGUCAGACUGACCUGAAUGUCAAGUUGUUACAAAUGAUAAAAAUACCAUGGUUGCCUAUUGAAGGCAUUAAAGAAGGAAAAAGACCAUUAUGCCUUUUUUACCAUCAAAUGCCCCUAAUACUCUAUCCCUUCAUUAGGCGAUCUGAGUAUUAGAUCGUCGAAUGUAUGAUCGACUUCCUCAAUGUAUGAUGGAUUAGUAGAAGAAAAUAACUUGAAAGUUUGAUUCUUUGAGGAUGAUGUUAUAAGGGGAAGACAGUUUUAGGAUAGCAAGCUUUGAGCCAUGGUUCGAUCUUGUGGUUGUCUAAUCUCGCACGUGCAUCUUGAGUUAAGUGCAUAGCCGACUAAAAAGUUAUCGAGGUGAUAAUUAUUUGGAAUGACUCAAGGUUAGUGUUAAAGUUCAUCCGACCAUGGUGAAACUUGUAUUUUAUUUUAAAAUCUUGGCUUUGAGCUUUCAUUUUAGGCUCUAAUAGAGAACUAGGCUUUUGGUUUACCCUAUAGAGUCACCCGAUUCAUCUGGUUUGAUUUGGGGUUCAUCCAGUUAGGCUAGAUUGAUAGCAUUAAGGUAGUCUAAGCGAAAUGAUUUAAAGUGGGAAAAUGAAAAGAUGUCUUCCCACAUUUACUUCGACACAUGGCAAAGCUUGUGUCGUUUUUCUAGUAUGCGGUGCAUCUAUAUAAAAAGCCAUUAGGAAUUCAAUUUUUCACCUUUCCAUUUUUUUCUCUUGAUCUAACCUAAGUUUUUCGAUCUCAAAGGCUUUUCAACCGUUAAAGUUUCUCCAUACCUUUUUUGGUAUGUAUUCUUGACCAUGGAUUCUAGUAUGAGUUCUAGAGAGGCUGACAGUUAUCGGGUCGAACCUAGGGGAGGUCAAUACAGGUAACAAGACAACAAUCUAAUUCCACUAAUUAUCAAGGGUCACAAUUAUAAAAAAAUGGUCUAUUGGUUCAAACUAAUAUCCAAGAAAGGGUAGUGACAAAAUGAAGAGAAUACUCAAGCAAGAAGGGAACGAGUUUUGAGCACGGAAGAGCUGUGUGCUUAAAUUGACUUUAACUUGCAAAAUCCACCUUCUUUUUUUAUAUCUCAGGUCAAUCCAUCCUCUAUGGCUGACCUUCCUUCAUCUUUGAUUAUUUCCCCCUCUAGGGUUCAAUCUCAUCAACCCUUUUCUUUUUUUGUUCUCCCUUCUAUCAAUGUUCUCGUUCUCACUUUAAUCCCUUUUUCAUCAGUUUUAGUUGAUAUUUAUUCCUCUCUUUAGGGGUUUUCACUUUGUCUUUUUUCAUCUAAGAUCAAGUUGCUUCAUCUAUUGCUCUUUCUUAGAGUCAUACUCUUAUUUAAGAGUCAGAGUCUUCUGAUAGUGAAGAUUUUAAUAUGAAAGGCUUUGAGAAAGAAAGAAAAAAGAGGAGUACCUCAACUAAGAGAGGUGAUAACAGGGAAAAAAGCCCUGUGGUAAAGACAAACUCACUGAGAUCCUAGUAUAUACUCCAUAUGAACUCAACAUGAUUUCAAAAAAUGUGAUGAGCAAACUAAAGGGUGGGGCAAAUUCUAAAGAUUGCCUUAACAUGUGUUUAACUCACCACGUUCAUGCUCUAGGAAUAACUUUUUUUUUUUUUAGAGAGAGUAUAGUAUAAUAAUGUCAAACUUCUCAAAUCGUGUCAUUGAUAAACUAGAGCCAUAUCAACUCUACAUGUAUUAAAAUUCCUUCAUGGUCAGUUUGAGGUUCCCACUUCAUCCUUUAUUCAUUUCAAUUUUUAAUUCUUACAAUUUGACUAUUAGUCAGCUCACUCCUAACUCCAUACGGUACAUAAUAGCCUUCAUCAUUCUUUGCCAACACUUAAACAUUUUUCCUUUUCUCUUUCUAUUUAAGGAAUUCUUUUCUCUAAAAAAACAUUCCAAUGAUAGCAGGUAGUACUAUAUAACAGCUCGAUUGAAUAAGAAAAUUCUUAUUGAUUACCUGAGCUUAAUAAAAAAUUAGAAGCUGUUCUUUAUUUUCCUUGAGAAGCAAAGGGUAAAUAAAGAUAGUGAGCCCGGGGUUAAGGCUGUUCCAAAAGUUGAAGCUUGAAAAAUAAGGGGUACUCUCGGCUCUUUCAUAAAUGCAUUGAUCGCUCUUUCCAUCAUGGAUCUAUUAGAUCAAGAAAAAAUUUUGAAAUUUUCUCGUAGAAGGGAGCUCUUUAUUGAUGCCCACGAGCUAACUUUUUUAAAAGUAAUAAACAGGAUGAAGUAUUGGGGUAGGUCUAAGGUAACCUUGUAAGGAUUUAUUUUAACUUGAUUUUUAUCUAACUGUUAGCUUGAUUUUACAAAGAUAGCUAGUGAGGAAGACUUUGACUUUGAGUUGUACCAACAUACCCCUAGGCUAAGAGAGGCCAAAAAAAAAUUUAGCUUAGGGCCCUAUCUUAGAAGAGAGACAAGUUGAUCAACACCUUAUUGUGCUACUCUCCUGCGAGUUAGAAGACCUAAACCAAAACAAGUUAGUACCUAUCCUUGACCUCAACACCAACACCACCUCUUCUUCUUACUAAAAAGUUGUAUGUCAAGGCCUUUUCCUUCACCAUGGAGAACCCCUAGGCUAGGGUAUUGAGGCCUAGUUCAGAAAAGAUCUCCACUAGUUUUGAAUACACUCUUACCAAUGACACUAUCAUGAGCUUGGUAAUGGGAAGAAGAUCCAGUAAAGUCACGGUCCCCCUUCUAGUAAGUUCUAGUUGUGACCUUAGCUCAGUUUUAUUACUGCUAUUUGAUUUUGCUAAGUUUGGGUCUUCUGCACAGUUAAUAAAAAUUUUCCUUUAAACCCUUACAGAACACUGGUGAAGCCUUUCACCAUGCCUACAUUGUGAUAGGUCACCUAUUAAAGGUUAAGAAGGACAUGGUUGCCUUGGCUGAGGAACACAAAAAGAGCUCAGACUAACUAAGCAAUGUUCGUUCUAUUCUUAGUGCAUCCCACAAAAAGAAAGCUAAGCAGAGGAGAAGAAUUAAUGAGCUGACAACAAAGCUGGAGGCCAUUUUAAUUAACAAAACCUUAGUUGACUUGAUGAGGGAGCAAGCCGAGCUCAAGCUCAAUAAUGCUCAAGUUGAGAUAGCCAAGGUCAAGUCUGAGCUCGAGGCCAAGGAUAAGGUAAAUGAGGACUUGAAAAAGAAGGUCGUAGAGGAAUUCAAGGCUUCCAAUGAGUGCUUUCAAAUGAAGGUAAAGUUUUCUAAAAGAACAUGCUUGGUGCUUUCUAACUUGCCAAAGAUGAAAUGCAAUUCAAAUUCUCCACUCUGAACCUUAACCUCUCUAAUAUUGAUAUCACCAAUACUAGAUCAAGUACUCAUCCAAAUCAGCCUAAAGAAAAUAAGGAUAAAAAUAAGGAUGAUGCCUUGAAGGGUGAGGUUGUUUCUGCCACCCUUAUUGCUAUUGUUGAAGUUGUUAAAGAAUAAUUCUUUUAACUUUUGGUUUUUGAUUUUUUGUAAUUUUUUGUUAAUAAAUGAGGUCAAUUUUUUUAACAACCUCGGAUAGGGAUGAUUAGCCUAAUGAAGAACUUUAUAAUUAAUAAAAAUGAAACAGAAAUAAAAUAGAAGAAAUUUUUUAUUCUAUUUAAGUUUCAACUCGAUUCUAUCAUAAUUCUUUAUUUAUUUGCAUAAGUUUGAGCAUGGUUAAUUGAACUGAAGAGUUACUGAUCAUUUGGACCAAAUUAACUUAAGAAUCAUUUUUGGUUCAAGGUUGAAUUUAUUUAGAUCGCUUAAAUGUAAGCUCAUUGAAUGGUUUAACUCAUGUGUUCAAGUACAAAAUAAAAUGCAAGUGUAGGUUUAAGGUCAAAUUUAUUUAGAUCACUUAGAUGUAAGCUCAUUGAAUGGUUUAACUCAUGUGUUCAAGUACAAAAUAAAAUCCAAGUGUAAGCUUAAUUUUGAUCGAGCUACUGGUAGUAUAUUUUUAAGUUAUUUGCAUUUCACUUUCUUGAUAUGACGUUGCCGUUUAGGUCUUAUAGUUUGUAAGUCGCAUCAUGGAUGAUCUCUUUAACAACAUAUGGUCCUUCCCAUGUCAAGGCUAAUUUGUCAUCUUUAUUAUCUACUUCUAAAGCUUUAACUUUUCUAAGUACCAGGUCACCUUUCUCGAUGUACUAAUACCAGACCCUUUUAUUAUAAUAGCGGCCUUUUUUGCUGAAAAUUGCUAUAUAUGUUAACGCUAUGUCUCUGUUCUUUGACGAGGUCGAGGUUGGUCUUAAGCAUUUUUUCAUUUUUUUUCUUUCAAGGCCAAGUCGACUCUUAAACUCAAUAAGUUGAUCUCAACUGAUACCAUAGCCUUUUGUUUAAAUGCCAGAUGGAAUGAGAUUUCAUUAGUGGGUCCCUUCAUGGUCAUCCUUAAGGCUUAUAGCACUUCUGGUAGCUUAUCGGCCCAUUUCCCUUUUACCACAUUGAGUCGCUUCUUCAAAUCUUUUAAUAUUAUCUUUUUGCAACUUUGGCCUACUCAUUGGACUAAAGGUGGACAAUCGACGAGAACCUAAGGUCGAUGUGGAGAUUUGAACACCAUUCCCUUAACCUUGGGUCUUUGAAUUGUUUGCCAUUGUCCGUUAUUAUAGACUAAGAUAACCCAAAUCUACAGACUAUGUUUUUUCAUAUGAAUUUCUCAACAUGGGCCUUCGUGGUGAUAGCUAAGGCCUCAACUUCCAACCAUUUGGUGAAGUAAUCUGCUGCCACUAAAACGAAUCUCUUCUAACCUAAAGCCAAAGUGAAUGGUUCGAGGACAUCCAUUUUCCACUAUAUGAAGGGCCACAGGUUGAUGAUAGGAAUAAGUUUAAUCGAAAAGUGGUGUUACAUGUGAACAAAUCUCUGACACUUGUCACAUCUCUUCACUAGUUCGGUUAUAUCUUUCUUGAUGAUGAGCCAAUAAUAGCCCUACCUAAACACUUUAUAGGCCAAUAGCCAAGGUGACUUCCACAAAUUCCUUUAUGGAUUUCUCACAAGACAUAGUUUGCCUUUUUUCGUCAAUACACUUUAAGUAAGAUAGUCUAAAAGAUCUUUAAUAUAAUUUUUCUUCAAUCAUUGUGUAUCGAGAGACCUUUCUCAUCAAUGUCUUAGCUUGGAUUCUUUCCUUGAUUGGAGUCAUCUAGGUUUUUACCUCUAUGAUCUAUCGUACGAGCUUGUCCUCGGUGCUUUUAUGUGUUAGCUCUUCUACUAGAACUAGGUUUGGGUUUUCCAAUGUUAUUCUUGAAACUAACUUAGAUAAGGAGUUUUCUAGUGAAUUUUUGACCUCGGUAUCUUUUUCACCUCAGCUUUCUCAAAGCCAACCACCAAGGUCAACACUUUGUCAAGAUACUUUUGAAUCCCAUCUUUCUGAGCUAUGAAAUCUUCAUUUAUCUGUCUGACCACCAAUUGAGAGUCACAAUACAUAGUUAUGCAUUGAAUGUUUAUCUCAGUUGCCAACUUUAGACCAAUUAAUGCUUUAUAUUAUGCUUUAUUAUUGGAUACCCUAAACUUGAAUCUCAAGGUGUAUAGGUAUUGUAGCCCUUCCAAGCUGAUUAGAAUGAGAUCGGCUCCUCCGCUAUGGUUUGUGGUCGACCCAUCAACAUAAAGCUUCCAAUCAUCCUUAUCCAAGGUUUCUUUUUUUUCUUCGAAUUAUCUUUCGGGUGUACCAAGGUGAGUUCUAUGACAAAGUCUGCUAGUACCUAUGAUUUUAAGGUUUAUCUGGGUAAUAUGUGCAGGUCAAAUUCACUAAGCUCUAUCACCUAUUUAAUUAUUCUUUUUGACAUUUCAAGCCUCUGUAAAACCUAUCUUAAUGCCUAGUCAGUUAGUAUGUGAAUCAUGUAGGCUUGAAAGUAUAGCCUAAGUUUUUAGACUGAGGUGACAAUGGUAUAAGUAAGCUUUUCUAUGUCACUGUAGUUAAUCUCAGGCCCUGUCAAUACCUUGUUUGUAAAAUAGGCUGGUCUUUGUUUUUUUUUUUCUUCUUAGAUCGAGACAGAGCUAAUAGCCUAAUCUAUGCUAACUAUGUAUAAGUAUAAUAUUUCAUCGGAUCUCGGUUUAAAUAGAAUAGAUGGCAAGGAUAAGAACUCUUUGAGUUCUUCAAAAGCUUUUUGGCAUUGAGAAGUCCAUUUAAAGUAAAAAAUGCUCCUAAGGAUUUUAAAAAAUGGCAAACAUCAUUUUACUAACCUAGACAUGAAUCGAUUGAGUGUAACUAUUUUACCAGUUAACCUUUGUACUUUUUUUAUAAAAGUCAAUGCCUUCAUAUCUAAGAUUGUUUGAACCGUUUCUGGGUUUGCCUCUAUCCCCCUUUGGUUGAUCAUACAACCAAGGAACUUGCCUGAUAUAAUCUCGAAAGCUUAUUUACUCAAUUAAGCCUCAUAUUAUACUUCCUUAAAGUGUUGAAGGUUUCUCUAAAGGCCUUCCAUAUGCUCGAUCAAACUCUUGCUCUUAACAAUCAUGUCAUCCACAUAUACGUCAAUGUUACGAUCAAUCAGAUUUUUAAACACCUUUUUUACCAACCUUUGAUAGGUCACCCCUACUCUUUUUAAUCUGAAAAGCAUUACCUUCUAAUAGUAAAAACUUUUCUUGAUAAUAAAGGUUAUCUUUUCCUCAUCAUCCUUUAGCAUUUUGACAUGAUUGUAACUAGAAUAAGCAUCCAUAAAGCUAAAAAGGCUAUGCUCAACACUAUCAUCCACUAGCCAAUCUAUGCUAAAGAGAGGAAAGCUAUUUUUCGGGCAAGCUUUAUUCAAAUUGUUAAAGUGGAUGCAUAUUCUUCAUUUUUCAUUGUGCUUUUAGACCAUGACCAUGUUAGCUAUCCAUUCAUAAUAGUAGACCUUCUUAAUAAAGUUAGCUCACAAUAAUUAUUAACCUCUUCUCAAUGGCCUGUUAGCUUUUAAAGGUAAAAGUUCUUUUCUUUUGUCAAACUGAUUUUAUCUCAAGAUUAGUAUGUAACCUAUGAAUCAUCACUUCAGUAUCGAUUUUGGACAUACCGAACAACGUCCAAGCAAACAAGUCAACAUUAUCUUUUAGGAGUUAGAUUAGUUGAUCCUUAUGUUGAAGCUUAGCUCUGAUUUGUAUAUAUUUUUUAAAGAUGUUAUCGUAGAACGAAACUAUCACUAGGUUUUUUACCAACUUAGGUUAGUUUGCAUCUGAGUCCAUUCUUUGAUCAAUUAUCUCUUUUUGUUCAAUUAGGUCUAGAUUAUUUUAUUUUGUGCUAUCGUUAGUGACUUCAUGUUUCUUGUCAAUUUCUAGUGGUUGUCCUUCUUUGCUUUUAACCUUGGUUUCUACUGAGUUACCCGUCUACUUCCUAGUCUUACCCUUCAUUGUUGUGACAUAACACUAUAGUAUCAUAGAUUGGUCUCCUCAGACCUCUCUAACCACUACGGGUGUUGAAAAUUCACUUUCAAAUAGAGAGUUGAGCCUAUGAGCUACAUAACAAACUGGCUAGGUCAAUAUAGUAUCAUGUUAUAAGCUGAUAGGAUGUUCACAACUAUGAAUUCUAUGAUCGAGGUAAACAUCAUUGGUUUAGUCCCUAAGGAGAUGAAAAGCUUAAUAGUUCUUUUUACUAACAUUCACUUAUUUUCAAACCCUACAAGUGUAGUGGUGAUUGACUUCAAUUGAUCUUCACUAAUCCCUAUUUUUUUCAUGUAGCCAUAGUACAUGAUGUUGGUUGAACUCUUAUUAUCAAAUAGGAUUCUUUAACAACACAGUUGUACACUAAGGUUGUGAUCACUAUAGCAUCAUCGUAUGGGUGUUGGAUUCCUUCAAGAUCUUCUGAGCUAAAUGAGAACAGCUUGUCUCUCCAGUCUUUUUCUCUUUUUGUCAAGCUUCUUAUCACCAUAACCAUGCCUAGAUUAAACUUUCUCUUGGCUAAGGUAAAGCUACCUCUAGUGAUUACAUAAAUCCCCCGACAAUUGACCUAUUCUUAUCAAUUUGGCAUUCUUCUUGGGUUGACUCAUCUCAUCGGGCUUUUCUUCUUUCGUGUUCUAGUCUUUCUUCUCUGCCUUAGUGGGUUCUCUUUGGUGUUGUCUGUAAUUUAUUUAGGGCUAGCCUUAUCUACACUACUCUAUAAACCUUUUCAGCUGGCUUUUCCUUAUCAAAGCUUUAAUCUCAUUUUUUAGGUUGAUGCAAUCUUCAAUGUUAUGGUCGAUGUUCUUGUGAAAGGCACAUCUUUUGGCUAAAUCCCUUCUUAUGUUCUAUCUCAAUGGCUUAGGCCAUAUGAGGUUGGAGUUUCUUUCAAUUUGCUUUAAAAUCCUUUUUUGAUAGAUAUUUAGUGCAGUAUAGCUUCUUUUCCUACUGAGGCUUCUAGCCUUAUGUUUUCUUCUUUUAAGAGGAGAAUCAUAGAAAUCCUUACCUUUCUUUCGAUCGAUAAGGGAGGAUGAACCUCUUUCAUCUCCGUUAGUUUUUAUUGUAGUGUCAGUAUUUAUGUACUUUUUGGCUAUCAAUAGUAUGUCAACUAGAGUUUUAGGCAAUUCUAGAGACAAAUUUAACUUUAGGUGGUAUUUUUAUCGCUGAAUCCACUUAUCAGGCUAACAACAAUGACUGUUUGCUUUAUGUCUUUAACUUGUAAAGUCUUUGCAUCAAAAUACGUGACAUAGCACUUUAAAAAUUUAUUUCAACCUUGAUGACUUGACAACAAACUUAAGGUUAUCUUUUUUACUCUUCGACUGUUGACAAAUCUAGAUAGAAAAAAGUGAUUGAGCUCUUUGAACAUCAUGAUAAACCUCAAUUCUAGGCUAUUAUACUAGGAUUGAGCUACACCUUUUAGGGUAAUGGCUAGGCUUUUGCACAUUAGAGCCAUAUCUACCCCUUAAAUCAUCAUGGUAGUCCUUAUAAAGUUUUCAAUGAUCAAAAGGAUCAAAAGUACCAUCAUAAGUUUCCAAGAUCAACAUUUUAAAUCUUUUGAUAGACAUGGCUCUGUCAAUCUCUUCAGUGAAGGGCGAAGUCUCUAAGAACUUGAGCUCAUCCUGAAACACCACUACUUUUUUUAUUAGCUCUUUGUCCAUGGCUUGCAUUCGAGCUUUCAAAUCUCUAUUUGGUUGGGAUUCAGGGUUUGUUUGUUUGGAUUUUUGGUUCAUGACUUGUGUUGAAUUGUGGUUGGGGUAAUGAGGGGCUGGGGUUGUGUGUUCCUCUUCUUUGGAGGCCGAGAAGGCCUUCAUUUCUUCGUAGCUUGAUUGUCCAAUAGCGGUUUCUCGACCAAAUGUGAUUAAAUCUUGCAUUUUUGAAACUUGGAAAGGGAUUAUGGUUUGCAGCAUUUGCUUGAGAGCUUGUAUCUGUUCGGUCAUAGCUUGAAAUUAUUCUAUGGUUGGGCUCACUUGUGGUUGGGUUGGACGGAUAGAAUGCUAACUAUGGUGAGUUUUCAUUCUAGCCGGGAUGGUUGCGUAUCCUUCAUUUAUGGUUCUCUUCCUUGGUGGCAUUGCUUUAUGCCCAACUAAUAAAAAAAUCCCCUACCUAGCACACCAAAUGUUAGUGGCGAGCUCCGACCUAAGGGCAUUCCUGAAAAGGCAAAAGAGAAGAAAAUGGCGAUUAAAGGUAAAGACAAGGGUAUUCCCUGUGUUUACACUCCGACACACAAGGUGAAAAGAUUCAGGUUGGAAAGAAAGUAGGAAGGAAAGAAAUAGGAUAAGAUCAAUCUAUCUUAAUGGUGCAUGGACCUUCAUAUUUAUAGGUAAGUUACAGAGGAUCAUUAGAGGACAACAAGGACAAUAUCGAGCUGAUGUGGCACUAAGUAUAUCAAAUAAAUCUAACAUAUCAGAUCAGCAUAAAUGAUAAAAAUAUCUCCGUUUGCCCUGUAAAGGCUUCAAAAAAGUAAAAAAAACCCAUUAUGCCCUUUUUACCAUCAAAUAUCCCUAACAUUUCCAAUAUCCCAGCUUUUCCUUUUGAAAUGCAUCAUCAUCACAACAACAAAGGCUUCAUCGACCACCAAUAGUUAUAUCUAAUAGGCGAUUUUCAAGAUACUUUUUAAUAUAUUUUUUGCUUUUUUUAACCGAAAGCAAGAAAAAUUCUCUAUUUGUUUUUUUUUUUUAUGCAUGCAUGGAUAUUUUAUGAUGUUUGGAAGGAUUUUGUAAGGUUUUUUAUGGUGUUCGAAAGGAUUUUGUGGGCUUUAAACUUUUUUUUUUUGUAACAUUUGACAACAUAACAACAUCCUUAGAGUUUCCACAACAAAAGAGCAGAACAAUAGUAGUGCGCAGCAGCCAUGGUUCUCAAAUACAAUCCUUCAGUUUUUUUUUUUUUUUACAAAAACCUAUAUUUUCAUUGGUUUUUUUGUUUGUUUUUUUGCUUAAAUUUUUUUGACUAAUUUUUCAUAUCUGCAUUGAUUUUAUUUUAUCAAUCCUUGAAAUUUAAGAGAUAAUAAUCCCCCUCCUCAGGCCAUAUUUAUUUUUGAUAAUGCCUCUUUCAAAAAGGGUUAUGUUGGAAAGGAAACAAACAUCAAAUCCUUUCUUUCCUCUUAUUAUUAUAUUAUUCGAUCCAUAUUUUCCAGUUAGACAAUAAUUUUGGGGCUUUUUUUUCUUAAUUUUUUUCCUUUUCUGAUCAUGUCUUAGAAGCGAAAGCUUUUGAAUUUUGAUGAAAAUGAUAAUUUCCUGAAGAAACAAGGGAAGAACCUUGACGAUUAUCAGCCUGAUAUUGCUUUAGAGGUCCGUUUGAAUGAGCUUGAACAUCAAAUUCUGUCAUGUUUCUAGCUUUGUUUAAUGGGUUUUGUUUUUUUUAUAUGUUUAGGUUCUCAAAGAAAUAUUUGAUAGCCGGCUUAACGAUGCUAUUUACUUUCUCAAAGAAAUAUUUGGUGGACAGAUGGCUUGAAGAAAGGUCAUUGUUCUGCAAUCAAACGAACAUAUGAUAUUUUAAUGUCAUUCUCAACUAACACGUUCUUUAAAUGCUAUAUUUCGGAGCAAAAUCUUGUAUAAGUUAUUUGUUUGCUAAUCUGUGGUUAAAAGCUGAAUGUUUGGUAUAUAGUUUGGUUUGAUUUUGUUUAUCAAAAGAAAAACUUUAUAUGCCCCAUUGAGUGGUACUUAAAAACUCCAUAAAACUUGAAGUAAAUUAGAAUGAAGUUAAAUGUUGAAGAUUGCAUCUCUUUACUACAAUGAACUUGGUGAAACCUUCAUUUGUUGAAGAAUGUUUUUGAUUUUGCAAAGUGAAUUCAAGUAGUAAAAUUAGAGUGAAAUUGGAUUUAGGUUGUGCAAGAUAUUAUGAUUAAUUUUAUAAAAAUGUUUCUUUGCUGUGAGGAAAGUCUUGUGUAAAAUAUUUUUUCGGAAAAUCUAUUUUCUUAUAGAUGUGUUUCUGUUUCCAUCUGUUUUUUUUUUUUUUUGUUGGAUUUAAAAGAUGCAUGUGUGUUGGUUCUUUAAUAGUUUGUAUGCAAAUGUGGGCAAGCUCCCGGACUAAGAGAACAGUGCUUAGAACUUGCCCAAGAUUAUGACAUCCAAGUUAGGUCACAUUAAGAUCACAAAUGCCAAGCAUUAUGUCAUUGUUUGCUUUGGACCCAAAUUAAAUGUUGUAAGAUUUUAGACUCUACCAUUUAUAGAUGGUGCUUGAUUGAAAGAAUGUAUACCUGUGAUCUCAUUGCAGUGUGUCAAUAAACAUGAUGAAGCCAAGCCUCUCGUCGAUAAUCUUAUGAAAGAGUUGAAGGAGUUUUGUGCUAAAUGAUUAACAUUUAUUGCUAUUCUCUACCACUUUCCCUCCCAUAUUGUAGUUAAUCUUUAUAUAUAUAGAUAUAUAUAUAUAUAUAUAUAUAUAUUAGAAGGUAGAUAAUUUAAUUUUAGUUUAGAGGUAUUUUUUUUAUACUUUGCAAUUAUAUAUUUACUUUUUAUACAAAUCAUUUGCACCAGCUAUACUGGUCAUUCCUCUCGAUGCCUUCAGUAUCAUUUCAGGCAUGGAAAUAUGUCACUGAGAUUCAGGUUUGGCAUUUUAUUGUUGAUUGCUAAUUAUCAUUUCUCUUGCAAUGCAGCAUUUGCCGAUAUCAUUUUAC
rnacentral:lncRNA from 1 species